rnacentral:rRNA from 1 species
ACUGGAGUUUGAUCCUGGCUCAGAUUGAACGCUGGCGGCAUGCCUUACACAUGCAAGUCGAACGGCAGCACGGGUGCUUGCACCUGGUGGCGAGUGGCGAACGGGUGAGUAAUACAUCGGAACGUACCUUAUCGUGGGGGAUAACGCAGCGAAAGUUGCGCUAAUACCGCAUACGCCCUGAGGGGUAAGCGGGGACCGUAAGGCCGUCGCGCGAUUAGAGCGGCCGAUGUCUGAUUAGCUU